AAUAAACAAAUUUAUAUAAAUAAACGUGUCUUUGUAAAUAUAUUUUCGAGAUUUGAAAAUAAGUAUGCUUGACUUUGUACGUGGAAUCUGCAUUUGUGAAUCUCCUUUUUGCUUUUAUGUCGAUGACGUAAUUUUGAGACAUUCCUACUGCACACCAAGAUUCAUAAAUAAAUACCACUAGAUUUGAAUGCGAAGACACCCUCCACUGAACAACCAGCAGAUGGCAGUGCUGUGCAGCCACAGCUAGUCUGGCAGAGCCGAGAUAAAGGCAAGCGCUAACCACGACAUUCAGCAGAAUCUGGAGUGGAUGAUGGAUAGAGCUGGUGAUCAAGAAGCAUCUACUACAGUUUCCUGGUAUGUACUCUGGGGGGCCUGUAAAGAGAGGGAAGGCUAGGUUUAACACCCCCGACAGAUCCCCUAGAGUCAUAAAUCUGCCAGUGUUUGUCCUGCCUGGACCAACAACAGUGACCCCAAAGGGCUCCAGUGAGCUGGAGCUUGCCUGGGGAAGAAGGUGGUCUUGGUGCCAGAAAGUGCCAGCCAUUCAGAGAUUGUCUGAUGGAGGGGGAGUUUACAAAGCUGAGCCCUCUCAUGGGGAGGUGGAUGUUUUUUAAAGCCACAGGUGGCAGUGGCCAGAGGAAAUUGAGCAUCAUUCCAAUAGAUUCAGAGGGCUAUUCGGGCCGUCAGCUCCGUGUGGCAUCGAACAACGGGAAGAAUGUGCUGUUUUUGGUUCCUCUUCAGAAGGAACUGGAGACUUCGCCCCUGCCCUUUAGUUCCCCUGAAUUUUCAAAAAUGCCGAAGGUGGCCUGCAAUACUUGUUCGGAAAUCAUCCCUUUGCAGAUGUUGGCACUACACUCAGAGACCUGCCAGACAGCUCAGCAGCAACCGGACAACAUCAUUAUAGAUGACAAUGAUGAGGAGGAUGAUGAGGUUGAUAGUGAUGCAGAUGUGGACUGUACGAUGGGAAAAGGGGUUUGUCCUAUAUGCCAGCUACAAUUUCCAACCACAGAGCUCCCACAUCACGCCAACAUUUGUGCAGAAAGACAAUCCUCACUACAUAAUCAUUAAGGUAUAAAACCGGGACAGAUCAAGGACAGAGGCCAGCGCAAACCACCUGGAAUCAUCUGCUAGGAAGACUAUUCGCUCUGAAAGUAAGAUUAGACAAGCUAACUGAUUAGCAUUUCAUGCUGGCGGGACCCUCCGUGCGGCCAGAGUUUUCACUGCAUUUUGUGGAGGUAAAUGUUUCAGCAUUAUGAUGUCUACUAAAACCUAAUUAAUGGUAUAAAGCUCUUUAUUUUUAAUUGUAAUCUAAAAACUAGGCUUUGAGCCGUGUGUACACUCAUUUUAUAUGAGAAUUAUAUUUUUGUUUGUGGAAGCUUCGAGGCGCCACCGCCAUUUUGUUCUGCCUCGUUUUCAAGAGCUCGGUCAGCACUUUUAUUCAUGUUCAAGGGCCUACGGCCAUGUUUUGUGUUGUGAGGAUAUGAUACUGUGAGUGAUUUAAUGUGAAUUUUGCGAAGGCAAAUAUUUUGUUCAGACAUUUAUGCUUCUUAAGUUGUUAUUCAUUGAGGUUGUACAACCUUAAAGGUGCAGAAGAGAAACAAUUUAAUACAACAAAAAUAUAUUUAGAAACAUUUUAUUUGUCAUAUUUGAAUGGUUGACAUAAAAUAAUUAUAUUGAUAAAAACUUACAUUCAAAUGGGAUAUAUAUCAAUAUAGCCAUAAACUUAUGAUAUUUUCUGGCACUUUGUGCACAGGUUUUUUUUUUGUCCAGCACUAGAACAAAUCAUAGAACAGAGUUUGAUGGUGAGCCAACCCCAUUCUUCAAUGAGCCCAGUCUGCUACUGCACUAUCUGAUGUGACAAUGCUACUGCGUGUUUUGUUUGGUGGGGUGCAGAAGUACGUGAAACUUUCUGAUCUAACAUUUGAUGCUUUCGUGAGAGAAGUGUGCCUGAAAUUUAACAUUCCACAAGGCAGACAGCAAGGUCUGAAGGUGUAUGACCAGUCUGAUACAGAAGUUGAUGUAGAUGGUUUUGAAGAAAUAGUGAAUCAGUCACCGGGAACCUUUUGAGUUAUGUUGUGCAACAAAGAAGAUCCUGGUGCUGUUCUAUCAUCAUCAUCUUCAUCUUCAGUCGCAUCUGAAGAUGAAGAAGAAGCCACUGCUGAAGGAAGUCAACCUAAAAGGCCAUGUCACAUAAAUUAUGAGGCGAAAGCGUUGAUUGAAAAAAUCUCGACAACUAAGCCUAGUGGUGAGCGUAUCAUGCAAGAGUACGCAAGAACUAAAUGCUUGACAGAUGCAUCCAGAAGACAGAUAAUAAACAUCCUUACAGCUGCAAUGACAGAAGCACAUGGGAUGUUUAUGGAAUGCUUGCAUGGCGUUUAAAGACCAUUCAAAGAAAAACUGCAGAGGAAAGGGGUGCCUCAGAUAGCAAAUCUCAUAAAAAAAGCAGCAAAUGUCUUCUCUGUCUUUCCACGGUUUCUGGAUACCCCAGGACUGGUAAGACAGCUUUAUCUCUUACACUACUAAAAUAUUUAGUGGCAACAUUCAUAGAAGUGUGUCCUGUAACCUGUGUAUUACUAGUUUGAACCCCAACUCUUUCUAAAUUGUUAUGUCCAUGGGGAAGACGUUUUACCCGCCUUGCCUACUGGUGGUGCUCAGAAGGCCCGGUGGCACAAGCACAUGGCAGCAUUGCUUAUGUCAGUCUUCCCUUGUGCAACUGGAGAAGUGGCCCACCAGUUUCAAAUCCAAGGUAAUAAAGGAAAGCCAUGGCCUGGUACCCACCAAUGAGCUCUUGAAUAUAUUGCGGAAUGCAGAGUUGGCUGCUGAAGCUGAGAAUGGUUGGGAUAGUGACAUGUCUGCUAUUUUGCUUCUGCUGCAUCUGCUACCACCAUCUGCACAAGGAUGUAAGAGGCCGGGUAAGAUGUCUGCAUCUCAAGCAGUGGAUCACCUCAUCAGAUUUCUAAAGGUUGGAACCAGUGUACAGCUGCAUCUUGACAAGAUCACGCAACAUACCCAACCCUACCUCCUUGCCCAGGGAUCCAUCCAAAGCAGUAUUCAUGCAUUCUUCAUUGUGAUGGACAACUAUGCUAUUCCAUGAGCAACAAGCCAGUGGCUGUGAAUUUAUGUGGAGAAUCAAAUGAUCUGGGACUAAACGCAGUUCAAUCAUGGUGCUUGCUGAAGAAUGUUCCUCUCAUGUUUGGAGUAACAUCUGAUAAUCCACACUGGGGCCUCCUCCUUUUACUACUACAAAUUGUGAAUAUUGUUCUUUCUUCAAUGUUGACCCAAGGUGCAUUCAGAAAAUUGGCCCUGUACUUCAUAGUUGGUGCAUGCACUAUGAAGGUAAACACAAUUUUUUUAAGAAGCAGUUAAAGUCAUUUAAAAACAUUACCAAAACACUCGCUAAAAAACAUCAAAACUAUAUGGCACAUGUUUGGCAA